AUGCUCACUUCUGCAGCACAUAUACUAAAACUGGAACAAUACAGAGAGUAUUAGCAUGGCCCCUAUGCAAGGAUGACACACAAAUUGGUGAAACUUUCCAUAUUUUU